UACAGAGGGUGCAAGCGUUGCUCGGAUUUACUGGGCGUAAAGCGUACGCAGACGGUGAGGCAAGUCGGGUGUGAAAGCCCCGGGCUCAACCCGGGAACUGCAUUCGAUACUACUUCGCUCGAGUAUGAGAGAGGAAGCGGAAUUCCUGGUGUAGAGGUGAAAUUCGUAGAUAUCGAGGAGGAACACCGGCGGCGAAGGCGCUUCUGGCGUCAUUACUGACGUUCAGGUACGAAAGCGUGGGUAGCAA
rnacentral:rRNA from 1 species